rnacentral:rRNA from 1 species
UACGGAGGGUGCGAGCGUUGUCCGGAAUCACUGGGCGUAAAGGCGCGUAGGUGGCUACUCAAGCGCGCGGUGAAAGCCCGGGGCUCAACCCCGGGUCGGCCGUGCGGACUGGGAGGCUCGAGCACUGUAGGGGCGGGUGGAAUUCCGGGUGUAGCGGUGGAAUGCGUAGAGAUCCGGAAGAACACCGGUGGCGAAGGCGGCCCGACUGGGCAGGAAGGGUGGGUAACCACCCCGGCUGACACUGAGGCGCGACAGCGUGGGGAGCAAACAGG